UGGUCGACAGUCUGCUGGGUGGGGCGUUAUAUGUUCCUUCAUUCAUUGGAUUCCUAUCUCUUUUCUAUAAUAUCUCUGACAACAGCACCAUGCAAUGCACCCUGGACUAAAGAGGCAGACAAAUUGGAAAAAUAUGCUAGACCCUCCGUUAAAUUACAAAUGUCUUGAGGUAGGAAUAUCGCAAAAAUAGGAUCAAUGGCUCAUUGGAGAGAAGACAUCCUCCCGCGUUAUGACAUCGGUAGGCUACGUAUGAAGAGACAUCAAAGAAUGGGGAACAUCUCACCUCCUCUGCUUGUUCCACAUACAGCAGCAGCAAUCUACAGUCUUGGUUUAAGACACCGGAACUCCGUUGGAUGAGACAUACAUCCAACCAACUUCACAACCAUAACCACGCCAGCCCAGAACCUCCACAUCCAGCUUCUUCACCUGCGGGAUUGUCUGAGACCAGCCACCCAGACAGCUGAUGAAACUGAGGAGUAUUUCUGUCUGUAAUAAAGCCCUUUUGUGGGGAAAAUCUCAUUCUGCUUGGCUGGGCCUGGCUC
rnacentral:lncRNA from 1 species